rnacentral:rRNA from 1 species
UACGUAGGGUGCAAGCGUUGUUCGGAAUCAUUGGGCGUAAAGCGCGAGUAGGCGGCUUCUUAAGUCUGAUGUGAAAGCCCGGGGCUUAACCCCGGAAGUGCAUUGGAUACUGAGAAGCUAGAGGGUGUAAGAGGAGAGUGGAAUUCAUGGUGUAGGGGUGAAAUCCGUAGAUAUCAUGAGGAACACCAGUGGCGAAGGCGGCUCACUGGCCCGGUACUGACGCUGAGGCACGAAAGCGUGGGGAGCAAACAGG